rnacentral:rRNA from 1 species
UACGAGGGGGGCGAGCGUUGUUCGGAAUUAUUGGGCGUAAAGGGCGCGUAGGCGGUUGGGUAAGUCUUGUGUGAAAUCUUCGGGCUCAACUCGAAGUCUGCACGAGAAACUAUCUGGCUUGAGUGUGGGAGAGGUGAGUGGAAUUCCUGGUGUAGCGGUGAAAUGCGUAGAUAUCAGGAGGAACACCUGUGGCGAAAGCGGCUCGCUGGACCACAACUGACGCUGAGGCGCGAAAGCUAGGGGAGCAAACAGG